rnacentral:precursor_RNA from 9 species
GACUGCUUUGCUGGAGUGUCGCUCUCGGUCAACCCGUAGAUUCGAAUUUGUGUUUACAUAAUGGAAUAACACUGUUCGAUUCUCGGGUAGAUCGAAUGCUGCUCAUACCCAGCGUGUCCUA